GAUGAACGCUGGCGGCGUGCCUAAUACAUGCAAGUCGAGCGAACGGACGAGAAGCUUGCUUCUCUGAUGUUAGCGGCGGACGGGUGAGUAACACGUGGAUAACCUACCUAUAAGACUGGGAUAACUUCGGGAAACCGGAGCUAAUACCGGAUAAUAUUUUGAACCGCAUGGUUCAAAAGUGAAAGACGGUCUUGCUGUCACUUAUAGAUGGAUCCGCGCUGCAUUAGCUAGUUGGUAAGGUAACGGCUUACCAAGGCAACGAUGCAUAGCCGACCUGAGAGGGUGAUCGGCCACACUGGAACUGAGACACGGUCCAGACUCCUACGGGAGGCAGCAGUAGGGAAUCUUCCGCAAUGGGCGAAAGCCUGACGGAGCAACGCUGCGUGAGUGAUGAAGGUCUUCGGAUCGUAAAACUCUGUUAUUAGGGAAGAACAUAUGUGUAAGUAACUGUGCACAUCUUGACGGUACCUAAUCAGAAAGCCACGGCUAACUACGUGCCAGCAGCCGCGGUAAUACGUAGGUGGCAAGCGUUAUCCGGAAUUAUUGGGCGUAAAGCGCGCGUACGCGGUUUUUUAAGUCUGAUGUGAAAGCCCACGGCUCAACCGUGGAGGGUCAUUGGAAACUGGAAAACUUGAGUGCAGAAGAGGAAAGUGGAAUUCCAUGUGUAGCGGUGAAAUGCGCAGAGAUAUGGAGGAACACCAGUGGCGAAGGCGACUUUCUGGUCUGUAACUGACGCUGAUGUGCGAAAGCGUGGGGAUCAAACAGGAUUAGAUACCCUGGUAGUCCACGCCGUAAACGAUGAGUGCUAAGUGUUAGGGGGUUUCCGCCCCUUAGUGCUGCAGCUAACGCAUUAAGCACUCCGCCUGGGGAGUACGACCGCAAGGUUGAAACUCAAAGGAAUUGACGGGGACCCGCACAAGCGGUGGAGCAUGUGGUUUAAUUCGAAGCAACGCGAAGAACCUUACCAAAUCUUGACAUCCUUUGACAACUCUAGAGAUAGAGCCUUCCCCUUCGGGGGACAAAGUGACAGGUGGUGCAUGGUUGUCGUCAGCUCGUGUCGUGAGAUGUUGGGUUAAGUCCCGCAACGAGCGCAACCCUUAAGCUUAGUUGCCAUCAUUAAGUUGGGCACUCUAAGUUGACUGCCGGUGACAAACCGGAGGAAGGUGGGGAUGACGUCAAAUCAUCAUGCCCCUUAUGAUUUGGGCUACACACGUGCUACAAUGGACAAUACAAAGGGCAGCGAAACCGCGAGGUCAAGCAAAUCCCAUAAAGUUGUUCUCAGUUCGGAUUGUAGUCUGCAACUCGACUACAUGAAGCUGGAAUCGCUAGUAAUCGUAGAUCAGCAUGCUACGGUGAAUACGUUCCCGGGUCU
rnacentral:rRNA from 1 species